rnacentral:rRNA from 1 species
AACGAACGCUGGCGGCAUGCCUAACACAUGCAAGUCGAACGAGACCUUCGGGUCUAGUGGCGCACGGGUGCGUAACGCGUGGGAACCUGCCCUUAGGUUCGGAAUAACUCCCCGAAAGGGGUGCUAAUACCGGAUAAUGUCUUCGGACCAAAGAUUUAUCGCCUUUGGAUGGGCCCGCGUUGGAUUAGCUAGUUGGUAGGGUAAAAGCCUACCAAGGCGACGAUCCAUAGCUGGUCUGAGAGGAUGAUCAGCCACACUGGGACUGAGACACGGCCCAGACUCGUACGGGCGGCAGCAGUGGGGAAUAUUGGACCAGGGGCGAAAGCCUGAUCCAGCAAGGCCGCGUGAGUGAUGAAGGCCUUAGGGUUGUAAAGCUCUUUUACCCGGGAUGAUAAUGACAGUACCGGGAGAAUAAGCUCCGGCUAACUCCGUG